UACGGAGGAUGCAAGCGUUAUCCGGAAUGAUUGGGCGUAAAGCGUCCGCAGGUGGCUAUGUAAGUCUGCUGUUAAAGAGUGAGGCUCAACCUCAUAAGAGCAGUGGAAACUACAUGGCUAGAGUGCGUUCGGGGCAGAGGGAAUUCCUGGUGUAGCGGUGAAAUGCGUAGAGAUCAGGAAGAACACCGGUGGCGAAAGCGCUCUGCUAGGCCGCAACUGACACUGAGGGACGAAAGCUAGGGUAGCGAACGGG
rnacentral:rRNA from 1 species